rnacentral:lncRNA from 13 species
AUGUCUAAAACUUCUUUUACUGAUCAUUUAAAACUAAGUUUCAUUUUCAUAAUGAAAUCACAUGAAGAACCACAAAAUACUGGCAACGCCCACUGCAGAAAGGAAGUGGGUUAUUUCCACCACUCACUAGCCUUUCUUUUCUCUUUUUUUUUCUCCCUUUUCCCCCACUCUCUCUGCCUCUCAACUUGCAAAGGAAACACUUGGGUAAAUCCUAUUUGGCCAAAGUCAAGUGCACUGAAGACUGCAUUUGUUUUUCGGGAAGGUGCUGAGAAUCUGUGUCACUCAAGGCUGGAAAUCCUGUAUGGAUUUGAUAUAAGGAGAAUAUUAGUCAUCCAGAUAUCACCAGGCCAUCAUCAGAACAGUGAGAUUUCUGCGAUCAUGACUAAAUCCAGUCACCGUUGAUGUUCUGCUGACAUUUGGUCAUUUGAAAGCCAAAGCUUUGCAAGAAUAAUUGGCAAUGUGAGAACAGAACACACUUCAGCAGCGUAAUUUGUAACUUUUAAGUAUUUGGGCAUACGGCAUAUAGGCCUCCAUUUCU